CAGUCUUGGGACUUACAUCUUUCAACUGACAGCACACUGUGUUGAUUUCACACAGAGCUUCCGGCACAUCGCGUUUGUUGUUUAUAUCAUACGCAUGCGCACACGUCUCACAAGAUUUUCCUUAUAUCAAUAACCUCGCAUGUGAUUGGAGGAGCCCGACAGGCUUCUCGCCUUCGUCCAAUCAUGUGCGAGGUCAUGGUCACGGCUCACACAGCAGUGUCGACAAGCGUAACAGACGUUUGGUUUGGUGUUUGUAACUCUCCAAGAAGAGCAGACGGGUGCACAAUCCCAAGAUUGCGGAGGCUGUAGGGCGUCUCUGAGGCACACUGCAGGCGCUAUGAACCAGAGCAAAGACUAACGUCGCCUCAUAACAAAGCCGUGACCUCCGAUUUGCUUGGGGCUAUUUCAGCAAGUCCAGAUUUACUGCUGAGAAUGACGACAUUGUUUCUGCCCGUAAGACGUAUUAUGAGUCGGUACGCCGGAGUUUCAGAUACAAACAACCUGAACUCGCAUCGCAGGCGGAAAAUGCGAAAAGUUUAGCUCGGAGUCGAUCCAGAAGAAAAAUGUUGCUGGAAGCGAGACGAAGUGUGUUGGCUGAGGAUGAGAUGGACAUUUGGAAGUGCGCCACCAUAGAUCUCAUAUCUGAUGAGGAAGACGGCAUUGUUGGCGGGGUGUCUGGAUGGAUUGUGCGGCCACCGCCCUCUCGCAGCCUGGAACUCUCCGAGCUCUGUGCCACGCUGCAAUCCAGAUUAGAGGCGAUACCAAAGUACCGGGCAACUCACCAUAUACGCGUGAAAAAGUGACUUUUUUACAACGUUUUUGAGGUUUUUUUUCAACACUUUGAAAAAGAUUUUUAGGGAUCUUUCCCGAACAUCUUAGGCACUUUUUGACGUGUUUGGAGUACAAUAUAAGAGACAUUAUGCUGCUUUGUACAUAGUUGUGUGUUUAUAAAUAAAGCUCUUUCUUUGAAUAAA